UGCUCAGGACGAACGCUGGCGGCGUGCCUAAUACAUGCAAGUCGAGCGCAGGAAAUCGACGGAACCCUUCGGGGGGAAGUCGACGGAAUGAGCGGCGGACGGGUGAGUAACACGUAAAGAACCUGCCCUCCAGGUCUGGGAUAACCACGAGAAAUCGGGGCUAAUACCGGAUAGGUCAUCGAACCGCAUGGUUCGAGGAUGAAAGGCGCUUCGGCGUCGCCUGGGGAUGGCUUUGCGGUGCAUUAGCUAGUUGGUGGGGUAAUGGCCCACCAAGGCGACGAUGCAUAGCCGACCUGAGAGGGUGAUCGGCCACACUGGGACUGAGACACGGCCCAGACUCCUACGGGAGGCAGCAGUAGGGAAUCUUCCACAAUGGACGAAAGUCUGAUGGAGCAACGCCGCGUGAACGAUGAAGGCUUUCGGGUCGUAAAGUUCUGUUGUAAGGGAAGAACAAGUGCCGCAGGCAAUGCGCACCUGACG
rnacentral:rRNA from 1 species